rnacentral:rRNA from 1 species
CGGUGGAGUGAUUUGUUUGGUUGAUUCCGUCAACGGACGAGAUCCAAGCUGCCCAGUAGAAGCCAGGAUUGUCUUUUCUGACAGCAAUCUCUUGUGCGGUUUCGGCCGUCAGGGGAUCACCUUCGGUGGGCUUCUUCUCUGCAGGAUUCCUUGCUUUUGCGCAAGGUGAGAUUUUGGGCAACAGCA